rnacentral:rRNA from 1 species
CAAACGCUGGCGGCGUGCCUAACACAUGCAAGUCGUACGAGAAAGUCGGCUUCGGCCGAUGAGUACAGUGGCGCACGGGUGAGUAGCGCGUGGGUAAUCUGCCCCCCGGUCAGGAAUAACCCGCCGAAAGGCAGGCUAAUACCCGAUAACACUGACGCUCCGCGGAGCGUCUUUCAAAGGAGGCCUCUGUUUACAAGCUUUCGCCGGAGGAUGAGCCCGCGUACCAUUAGCUAGUUGGCAGGGUAAUGGCCUACCAAGGCUGCGAUGGUUAGCUGGUCUGAGAGGAUGGCCAGCCACACUGGAACUGAGACACGGUCCAGACUCCUACGGGAGGCAGCAGUGAGGAAUCUUGCGCAAUGGGGGAAACCCUGACGCAGCAACGCCGCGUGAGUGAGGAAGGCCUUCGGGUCGUAAAGCUCUGUCAGAUGGGAAGAAAUGGGUGGGGGCUAAUAUCGCCCAUCCUUGACGGUACCAUCAGAGGAAGCACCGGCUAACUCCGUG